GACGAACGCUGGCGGCGUGCUUAACACAUGCCAGUCGAACGGAAAGGCCCUGCUUUUGUGGGGUGCUCGAGUGGCGAACGGGUGAGUAACACGUGAGUAACCUGCCCUUGACUUUGGGAUAACUUCAGGAAACUGGGGCUAAUACCGGAUAGGAGCUCCUGCUGCAUGGGGGGGGUUGGAAAGUUUCGGCGGUUGGGGAUGGACUCGCGGCUUAUCAGCUUGAUGGGGGGGUAGUGGAUUACGAAGGCUUAGACGGAUAGCCGGCCUGGGAGGGGGAACGGCGACAAGGGGACUACGAGACGGAGCAGACGCGUAUGGGAGGCAGUAGGCGGGAAUAUUGCACAACGGGCGGAAGCCUGAUGCAGCAAUGCUGCGUGCGGGAUGACGGCCUUCGGGUUGUAAACCGCUUUCGCAGUAGACGAAGAGUGAGUGACGGUAAUGGGUAAAGAAGCAACGGCUAACUACGUG
rnacentral:rRNA from 1 species